GUCGCCCAGCCAGUUGGCUAUGAUCCUCGGCUUGUAACCGAGUGGGUUCGGGUUCGAAUCCCGAGAAAGACA